AUACGUAAUUCUCAAAUGAAAUACAGUAAAAGGGCACACUGAAAACUUGAUUUAUUUCAUUUUGCUUCAUGAGGUAAUUUUCCUACAGAUGUUGGUGUUGAACAUGUAAACAGUUAGUGGCGCUGUUCGCCAAGCUUUUUCUUAGUUGUAAGCCCAGUGCUAUUUAUUGGUUUCGCAAAUCACUCUGCGCGUAUGCUGUGGGUAUUUUUCAUUAGCCAAAGUAUAAAAUAUGAAACCAAAAUAACAUUUCUAUUAAUGCUUUCCUGAACUGACAGUACAGUCUCUUUCGGGACGUUUCGUUGCGACAACCCCGUGCUGUUUUUAUACAGUCUACGGCUGUUUCACAAUUAUUGUCAAGCGCGUGCCAAUCUGAAAGAGUGUGAACAGCGAAUAUUGCACAAGUCACUGUUUGCAGAUUUCCUUUUGAGAGAAUUUACAUUCGCUGGAGACCUUUGAUCGACACGGGUUGCAACUGUAGGAUUCGUUUCGAUUCGCCCGUACUUCAUCUCGCUCGCUGGCUGGCGUUCACAUGGAAGUAUUUUAUAUAGGAAGCCAACCUGUCGCCGUGUGGAUUUUGAUCGGAUACCUGACACAUUUGGGGUUUAUUGCUGUGCUGAGUAAUCACGAUUGAGAGAAGUGAAUAAUGCCCAAAGAUUUCCACUGGUCCCACUGCUGCAGAAAUGCCCUGAGGCUGAGUCUGGACUGAAGCCAAGGUGAUAUGCUUUGAGGAUGAGUGCUGUCGGGGAAAACUCGUCGGACCCUGCCAGGUCAGAGGCUCAAAAGCGCAAGGAAUGCCCGUCAGACCUCCUGGG